UACGUAGGCAGCAGCGUUGUUCGGAAUUACUGGGCGUAAAGAGUGUGUAGGCGGUGCUCUAAGUUUGGUGUGAAAUCUCCCGGCUCAACUGGGAGGGUGCGCCGAAAACUGGAAUGCUUGAACGUGGGAGAGGAAAGCGGAAUUCCUGGUGUAGCGGUGAAAAUGCGUAGAUAUCAGGAGGAACACCUGCGGUGUAGACGGCUUUCUGGACCAUUGUUGACGCUGAGACACGAAAGCGUGGGUAGCAAACAGG
rnacentral:rRNA from 1 species